rnacentral:lncRNA from 1 species
GCCCCGGCAGCGGGGAUGGCGGCGGCGGGCGGGUGAGGGGCCGCGGCUGGCAGCGCCGAGCCGCCGGCACCCGGCUGGGACAGCGCCGGGCAGAGCUCCGGGCAGCAGCACGAUAUUUCCAGGAAGUGCCUCGAGGAAGCUUCCUUAUGUAGAAGAACCCCACAAGAAACACAGUGUGCGCUUCCUGGCAACU